rnacentral:rRNA from 1 species
UACGUAGGGGGCAAGCGUUGUCCGGAAUUAUUGGGCGUAAAGAGCUCGUAGGCGGUUUGUUGCGUCGGCUGUGAAAUCCCGAGGCUCAACCUCGGGUCUGCAGUCGAUACGAGCAAACUAGAGUGUUGCAGGGGAGACAGGAAUUCCUGGUGUAGCGGUGAAAUGCGCAGAUAUCAGGAGGAACACCGGUGGCGAAGGCGGGUCUCUGGGCAACAACUGACGCUGAGGAGCGAAAGCGUGGGGAGCGAACAGG